GCGUCGGUUGCUAUAGAAAUCGACGUCUAUAGUCACAUAGACGUCGGUUAUCUAACUAAUAUGACGUCAAAGAUAACUUUUAAUAUGACUUUUUGAAUGCACAUUAGACGUCGGACACCAGGGGAGCCGACGUCUAUUGCGCUGAACCGAUUGACGUUUCAUUUCCUGUUAGGGAAGUAGACGACAUAUGUCUAGGGUGCCGACGUCUAUAACAAUAUAGAUGUCGGG
rnacentral:lncRNA from 1 species